AUACAAGCUAGAUAAGGGCGUAUGGGGAAUGCCUAGGCUCUCAGAGGCGAAGAAGGACGUGAUAAGCUGCGAAAAGCUGCGGGGACUGGCACAUACAGGUUGAUCCGCAGGUAUCCGAAUGGGGCAACCCACUUAACUGAAGGUUAAGUACUCCGUAAGGAGGGCAAACCCGGGGAACUGAAACAUCUAAG
rnacentral:rRNA from 1 species